rnacentral:rRNA from 1 species
GACGAACGCUGGCGGCGUGCUUAACACAUGCAAGUCGAACGGAAAGGCCCUGCUUUUGUGGGGUGCUCGAGUGGCGAACGGGUGAGUAACACGUGAGUAACCUGCCCUUGACUUUGGGAUAACUUCAGGAAACUGGGGCUAAUAUCGGAUAGGAGCUCCUGCUGCAUGGUGGGGGUUGGAAAGUUUCGGCGGUUGGGGAUGGACUCGCGGCUUAUCCGCUUGUUGGUGGGGUAGUGGCUUACCAAGGCUUUGACGGGUAGCCGGCCUGAGAGGGUGACCGGCCACAUUGGGACUGAGAGACGGCCCAGUCUCCUACGGGAGGCAGCAGUGGGGAAUAUUGCACAAUGGGCGGAAGCCUGAUGCAGCAACGCCGCGUGCGGGAUGACGGCCUUCGGGUUGUAAACCGCUUUCGCCUGUGACGAAGCGUGAGUGACGGUAAUGAGUAAAGAAGCACCGGCUAACUACGUG